rnacentral:tRNA from 1 species
AGCAGUGUGUCUUAGUGGAAAGAGCCUGGGCUUGGGAGUCAGAGGGCGUUGGUUCUAAUCCCACUUCUGCCA